AGAUAUUGAAUUAGUUUAUGAUGAUACUUACUGUAGUAGCCCAAUUUUUGCCCGGGCUAAAAGUCCAAAAAUAAACAAAUAAGACCCAAAAUAAAAAUAAACCCAUUACCCAAAUUUCAAUGCCCAAAUAAAUCAAAACCCUAAAGCUCAAAUGGCCCAAAAUCUAAAACAAUUUUCAGCAAAAAUGGAAGACAAAAAAACUCUAGCCACAUGCCUUGCUACCUCUGUCACGCCUCCAGCGCACGCCAGCCUGCUCGCACGCCUCUGCCAUCACCUGCAAAACAAGCAACAUGCAACAACAGAGGAAGCCAAGCAGAAGCAGACAACAGAAACAAACAAAAAUAAUAGAAUAGAGAGUUGUUCAAAUCGGCUAUAAAAGCCAAAAUCGAAUGCUUGUUUAGUUCUUCUACCUUUUUUUACGAAUCUUGAGAAAUAAAAACAAAAAAAAAACAAAGUUUUAAGAGGAUUCUCUUUUUAUUUCAAUCUUUCUUUUUAUAUUUAUUUUUAUAAUUUUUUUUAUUUUCAUAAACGAAAAUAAUAUAAAAAAGAGACUUACCGGAGAGGCCCCAUGACCGCUUUGUCAGAGGGCCGACCUCCAUCGCAAGGGCCGAAGGUUGAGGAAAGAGAGGCUUCGUUCUCUUUUCUUCUUUGUGGGAAAGGAGGCGCUCCUCCCCGAAACCUAAGAAACGGGCUUAAAGGCCUUGCUUUGUACGACGUCGGUCACCGUUCUCGGGGUGCCGCGGCGGCGCGCGGUGGUCUGGCAUUUGGGUUCCUAAGCAAGGCUGAAACCCUAGCAAAGAAAGGGAAAACCCCUUUCAAAUUUUC
rnacentral:lncRNA from 1 species